rnacentral:rRNA from 1 species
GAUGAACGCUGGCGGCGUGCCUAAUACAUGCAAGUCGAGCGAACAGACGAGGAGCUUGCUCCUCUGACGUUAGUGGCGGACGGGUGAGUAACACGUGGAUAACCUACCUAUAAGACUGGGAUAACCUCGGGAAACCGGAGCUAAUACCGGAUAAUAUAUUGAACCGCAUGGUUCAAUAGUGAAAGACGGCUUUGCUGUCACUUAUAGAUGGAUCCGCGCCGCAUUAGCUAGUUGGUAAGGUAACGGCUUACCAAGGCGACGAUGCGUAGCCGACCUGAGAGGGUGAUCGGCCGCACGAGAAGGGGGACACGGUCCAGGCUCCUACGGGAGGCAGCAGUAGGGAAUCUUCCGCAAUGGGCGAAAGCCUGACGGAGCAACGCCACGUGAGUGAUGAAGGUCUUCGGAUCGUAAAACUCUGUUAUUAGGGGAGAACAGAUGUGUAAGUAACUAUGCACGUCUUGACGGUACCUAAUCAAGAAGCCACGGCUAACUACGUG